UUAACAAAAAUUGAACUAAUAACUGACUGAACUUGAUAGUGAGUAAUCACUAUACUUGAACUAAUACAAUAACACCACAAUCCACUUAAUGGUUGAAUAUCAAUCUAAAUUUUCAACGAUGGAUGUCUUGGCUCCCAUAUCGAUGAAGAACGCAGCAAGAAUGCGAUAUGCAAUGUGAAUUGCAGAACCAUGAAUCAUCGGAUAUUCUAACGCAACUGGCACUGGCUAAACCAGUAUACUUGUUUCAGUGUGCGUAACCAAACACACAAUCAAAAUGUAAGAGAUCACCUCUUAUGAAAUGAAUGCUCAUUGUAGCAAUCACAAUCUUUUGUGAAUUACUCUGAGACUUUUCAAUUUGCACCUGAAAUCAAGUAAGAUGACCCGCUGAACUUA
rnacentral:misc_RNA from 1 species